rnacentral:lncRNA from 1 species
AGAUGUUUAGAUGCAGAUGUCUAGCUGUAAUGAAGACUUUAUAAAAUCCAGUUGUGCUGAAUAAAUUUCUUUUGGCAAAAGCAGAACUAUUUAAUAGAUCACAUCUGCCUGGUUGAAGCUGCAUUAAUCCUGACAGUAAAUUGCUGUAACUAAUCUGUUUUAAUUAGGGAGAGUAAGGACUGCCAUUUAUUUUGCUUUUCGAAUUUUUCAGUAAUCAUGCUGCACCAUGCCAGUGCAUUUAACACUCGCCAGUCCUGGUACCAGAACAAAUGCAGUUAUUCCAGCAAGCUCUCUCAUGCUACGUCCCUGGGAGAUUUGUCAGUUUGGGAAGACUGAGAACAAUGAGCCUGCCUCGGAUCUGGACAGACCUCAUUAGCUGUGAGGAUUAGACACAAUACCUAGCACACGCACAGCUAACCAACCUACAGGAGCAGGGGCUUCUGUGGAGAGGGAUCCCAGGAUACUUUUAAUGAGGCCACUCAAACUGGAGGUUGGAUUGUUGUUCGACACUCCAAAGCUGGCUGACCCUACAGAAAGUGCCAUCCUAAUAACUGUUGUUCAUGUUUAAGCACAGACUAAAAGAGCUCAAAGGCUUCUACAGCUUCAGGGGAGUUGCACUGACACUCAGAGGACCACAAAAAUAUGUAAGUACCAAAAGGCUGCUUUUUGCAACCAAAUCAAGUUGUUGAAACAGUUUUGCUCUCAUAUGUGCAGCUUCCAGAGGAGUUAAGCAGGAACAGUUCUUUACAGGUGUUGGUCCUUUCCUUUUGUCUUUUCACUGUCAACUGAGUCCUCAGCAUUUCUCUGCUUUCCUGGGAGGGAUGAGAAAGAAGUGGCAAGCAGCACUGCCACUCCUCUCCAUUUUCCUGCCUGGCUUGGGAAGCAGGUGUUUUCUAAAUAACAAGGUCUUUGGAUGAUUCAGUGGAAAUAUCUGUAUCUAUCUAUCUAUAUAGAUUAUGAUGAUUAUUAUCAUAUUUUUUUAAACAAAAGAUCUUUCAAUUUCUCUGUGCUGCAGAAGCACCCCCCCAACCUGAAUCAAAUCUCUGGAAACUUUGAGAGCUGAAUAUAACAAAAGUAACUACAGUAGCAACAAAAAGGAUGUUUUUGUUAUUGCUGCUGUUUUUAACAUUUUUAAUCUUAUGACAGGUGCUACAAUUUUGGACUCUGGCAUUGGCUAUACUUCCUAAAUAUAUAUUUCCAAGUUGCUUGGAAAGUUGGCAGGAGAAUCAGAGAGGAAAAAGGCAUACUGAAACCUCUCCUGUCAGAAUUAACUGCAGUUCACCCUCCCUCCGCUCCCCCACCCCCCCCCAAAAAAAAAAAAAAAAAAGGCUCUCUUUUAUCAUUUCUUGAGUGUAUAUAUAGACCUGCCUGGAAUC